rnacentral:lncRNA from 1 species
GAGGGGCCUUCCGGCAACUUUUUGGUUGGUGCCGCCCCGCCCAGGCCCCUUUUAAACUUGAUCUCCGCGGUGCCCUCCCCUUUCGGCCGCGGCGCGUGACUGGGCUUGGUGGAGUUUCAAGAUGCUGAUGAACUUAAGGUCUGGUGCUUGAAAGAAUCAGUGAAGCUUUUCAAGUAGAGGAGUGGUGUUUCCAGUGAAAUCUAUGGCAAGAUGGUUUGGGGUCACUAUCUGCAUGAACUGCCAAGUUGGAAAAUCAAAAAUACAUCAAAAUCAUUCUUGGGACAUAAGUCACGGAAGUGACUCAUGCACACAAUAAAUACCCAAGAAGCAGGACCAGAGGGCAGUUGUGUAUUGGCACGCUCAUCAGUGCUGCAAAAAUUCCCCUUCUGGAUGGCAACAACAAUGCUGUAUCCACAGCAGCAUUUUAAAUCCCACCUCUGAUGUAUCCAUUGUAGUGGGCAUGAGAUGGCAGAAAGUGGGAUAUGGAAAAUGUUGCCAUGUGCCAUUCCGAAUACUACUGUGGCUUCCCUGCAGCAUUGCUUUCCAUAUUGGCUGUUUUCCAUUUCAGGAAAGCUUAGGAUGUCCUUGGUAAAUACUGGCUAACCAAGAAAUUUGAAAAAUGAAAGGAGGCUGAGUAAUUGGUCUUCGGUUGAAACGGGGUGAUGCUGCAUAAACUACAUGGUUGACUCUGAAAAGCUGGCUAAAAAGCCAGUCUGCAUUCCUUGUCCUCAUUUCCUUGGAGUAAUGAAGGGUGCUUCUUAGAAGAGGGAUAGAUUCAAGUAUGGGUUGUGAGUCAUUCUUCUUUUCUGUAUGUAAUAGGUCUAACCACAGGGCCUGUUGAGCCCUGCCCUGGUGACCAAGAGCAUUUUCUGACAUGAACAGAGUUAGGCCAUCUUGCCCAUAUGAGCAGAGUUCUUCAGAUGUCCCUUAGGAUUCUAGGUUUGAUACCUUCCCUGCCACUCCCCCACUACCAAAUCCCCUUACCCUAUAGCCUAGCAAUGCAGAGUUGUCCAAUAUAGAACCUCUGUUAAACAUAGCAUCACCCAGGAAAAUGGGAUGAGUGGUUGCAGUCAGUACCACAGUUCUGCAGAAUCAACUU